rnacentral:rRNA from 1 species
ACUGACAGCCAUGGUUACCGCGGCUGCUGGCACGGAGUUAGCCGGUGCUUCUUCUGUGAGUGAUGUCCUUCCUGCCGGCUAUUAACCCGCAGGCCUUCUUCCUCACUGAAAGUGCUUUACAACCCGAAGGCCUUCUUCACACACGCGGCAUGGCUGGAUCAGGGUUGCCCCCAUUGUCCAAUAUUCCCCACUGCUGCCUCCCGUAGGAGUCUGGGCCGUGUCUCAGUCCCCAGUGUGGCUGAUCAUCCUCUCAGACCAGCUACGGAUCGUCGCCUUGGUGAGCCGUUACCUCACCAACCAGCUAAUCCGACAUAGGCUCAUCCGAUAGCGCGAGGCCCGGAAGGUCCCCCGCUUUCCCCCGGUAGGGCGUAUGCGGUAUUAGCCUGGGUUUCCCCAGGUUAUCCCCCACUACCGGGCAGAUUCCUAUGCAUUACUCACCCGUCCGCCGCUCGCCACCAGGGAGCAAGCUCCCCGUGCUGCCGCUCGACUUGCAUGUGUUAGGCCUGCCGCCAGCGUUCAAUC